rnacentral:snRNA from 1 species
GUGCUUGCUUUGGCAGCACGUGCAGCACAUACACUAAAAUUGGAAACGAUACAGAGAAGAUUAGCAUGGCCCCUGCGCAAGGAUGCCACGCAAAUUCCUAAAGCGUUCCAUAUUAAA